GGCCGGCAGCGAGCGCGGGGUUCGGCCGCUCCACGUUCGGCGGUGCCGUGGCUCGGAGGCGCUUUGGAGGCGUUGAUGGCAUCGCUGGGUUCGGUUUGCAGCGGGUGUCCGCUAAGGGAUACGGUGUUCUUCCUGAGCGGCACGGUUCUCGGUGCCGGUAGGGAUGAUAAAGGGUACUGAGAAAAUACGUCUCCCUUAGAGUCCCACGGAAAGGUUCUCAGUGCGCUCUCUAUCAAGUGCUAUGAGUCUUGAUAAAUUGGAGAAGAGCCCAAGAGAAAUUUUUCAUCCCUUGAUAUAAAAGGGAUCGGUGAAUUUUAACUUUGGAGUCCCCUAUGCUAAGGAUGCUCAGCUUACAGGUGAUGAAAUGUUCAGUAAUGUAUUUGCUGCAGCUCUGCUUACCCAAGCUUUGGGUUCCUUCUGUCCCACUGGGAGUUGCCCAAUUUGGUUGCAUCUGGUGAAAUUCACCCUGAGACCUUACAGAAGCAGCUCCAACUACGUGAGAGCCAUUUGCAGUUCUCUCCAGACGCCUGGAGAAUGGGUGACGUUUCUGAGGAUCCGGCGAGCGUGCUUCUGUCAAAACUCAGUCUGUGAAAUUCCUGGGGAAAACCCUUCUGUGUCCUGAGGGGUUCAAACUCUGGUGAGGAUCCAGUUAUCAGGUGCUCACCUGGAUGGUUCCGGCUCCCAAAGGUAACACUUGUACUCUUGCCCUGUAGUUUACAUCUAUUGUAUUUUUGUUAUUUUGCAAGAUUUUUUGUCUUUGCAAAAUAUUGUGCAUUUCACUCUUUGGAACCUCUCAGAUGGUUCUUUGGUGCAGCACCACCCCAGGGGACACUUGGCUGCUGUCCUGAAGGGGUUGGUGGCUAGAAUUGUAAAUCCUGGAGAGUUUGUGAGUCUUCUGUCCCCAGGGAGGUGUCGUGCUUUGUUUACUUUUGUUCUGUUGGUUAGGCGCUGCUUCUCGUUGCAAGUAUGAAUUUCAAACUGCCCUGUUCUUAUUUUAGCUGUUUUCCUGGUUCUCUCCCUACGGCAGGGAAAGACUCUCGUGUCCUUGUCGUCGGGCUCAGUGCUGUCCAAGAAGAUACGGGGACUAAAAAAAUCAUAAGAAGCAAAAUAGGACUGCAGGGAAAAGAAGCUGGAGAGAACAGAAGACUCAUCACGGCGGGACAGCGUGAAGACUGAAAGUGUAAGAAGAUGUGGAGGGAAAGAGAGAAUCUGACAGGAGCAUCGGACGGACGAGUGCACGAAUUUUGCUUUUUUGCUUGGAUGUAAACUCAGGCGUUGAAAGGAAUUUGGGAGUGAGAAGGGACAUUUCAGAAGGAGAAGAAGCAAAAGAAGUUGUUGUUGUUGUUACAGUCCUGGCAAAAUCUUUUGUUCUAGCUAAUAAAAGAAGUUAGU